AGCGAACGCUGGCGGCAGGCUUAACACAUGCAAGUCGAGCGGGCCCUUCGGGGUCAGCGGCGGACGGGUGAGUAACGCGUGGGAACGUGCCUUCUGGUCUGGAAUAACCCUGGGAAACUAGGGCUAAUACCGGAUACGCCCUUUUGGGGAAAGGUUUACUGCCGGAAGAUCGGCCCGCGUCUGAUUAGCUAGUUGGUGGGGUAACGGCCUACCAAGGCGACGAUCAGUAGCUGGUCUGAGAGGAUGA
rnacentral:rRNA from 1 species